UGAUUCUUGUCUCAUUGGAUUCGCCUCAACUUUCUGAACAAGCACCAAGAAGGACCAGACCUGGGUAGAACGAUUUCACGUUCAUCGGAGCUCGACUGGUUUAGAUCGACAAACAACCCUUCGAUCCGUGUAUCUCGAGUUACAGACCACCUCUUUAUGUGAUUCUUGGCUUAGUGAGUUCGUCUUGAAGUUCUGAACAACUCUCCAGAAGGAAUAGAAGCGUUUCGUUGAAGUUUUUACGUCGAAACUCAAGCUCGCCGGAUUCUGGAAUUUUUCCGACCACCGAAGCUUUCGAUCGGUAUAUCUCGAGCUACAGACCAUAUUUUUCUGUGAUUCUUGAACCAAUGAGUUCACCUUGAGUUUCUUAACAACUCUCUAGAAGGGAUCAAAGCCUGAAAUUGAAGUUUUGACGUCGAAAUCAAGCCUUGCCGGAUUCUGCAAAUUUCGCCGGAUUCUGGAAAUUUUCCGGCCACCUCGACUGUUUUAGGUGAUUGACGGUCUCCCUUGGGUGAGCGAUUUCGGUGUGUAUUGUGUUAAACUGAAGACGCAGCGGGAAUAUCGAGCGGGUAAUCCUACAGGUCAAGAGAAUCAGGACGGAGAUCGAGCUGCGUAGAGUAGCUGCAAUUGUGUCAAUCUGAAUUGCUUUGUGAGCCGGUGAGGUGUGUUAUGCUCAUUUAGAGCUUUACAAUAUUUCUUGUGAGAGUGAAUUGUAAUAAUGAACUCGAGGUUUCGAAAUUUGAAGUUUGUGUAUCGUGUGGUGAGGUUGUUUUGAGAAAAAAAUUCAGAACGUUUAUUUGAUUAAGUGGUUUAAUUC